GCAAACCCCAGUUUACCAUUUCAAUGUAGGAGCUCCAAAAAUGGAAAGGCACUUUGGAGGUCAGCAGCAACUUUUAAAGCAGCUUCACGGCAGUCUUGAGAAAGGGUUUCAAGACCCAGCAGCAAUAACAUCAGCCUCAAUCAGAAUCUCUUGUAAGCCAGCAUCUCCAAAUAGCUUGCCAAUACAGGACAGGAAAGCCAUACAUGUGUGAAACUCCCCCAUUCUAAGGUCUUUCCUUGUAUUUUUCACUCAUCCACCAUAUCUCCUGAGCUUUGGCAUAGAUGGCUUGGUCAAAUAGUAGAACUAUCUCCUGAAGUUGGAGGCUGUCUGCAAUUUCUGUUGAUCUUUUAAGGAUGUUUUUUACAGUUCCUAAUUCUGUA